CCAAGCUAUACAUGUUAAGAUCCUUUAACCUUUCCUGGUAGGUUUUAUCCUGCAAUCCAUGAACCAGUUUAGUAGCCCUUCUCUGAACCCUCUCUAAGGUAUCAAUAUCCUUCUGAAGAUACGGUCUCCAGUACUGUGUACAAUACUCCAAAUGAGGUCUCACCAGUGUUCUGUACAAUGGCAUGAGCACUUCCCUCUUUCUACUGCUAAUACCUCUCCCUAUACAACCAAG